UAGCCCACCUUCUAUCUACUCCAGAGACUUCACCAACUAUUUCCAUGACCUGUUUACACAAUUAAUUCAUAUCUGUUACAUAUUGUUCAAAGCACAUGGUAAUUAUGUUUAAGACGUGGGUGUAGGCCUGAGGAAAUGGCUUAGCGGUUAAGGCGUUUGCCUGCGAAGCCUAAGGUCGCCGAUUCGAUUCCCCAAGACCCACCUAAGCCAGAUGCACAAGGGGGCGGCGGAUGUGUCUGGAGUUCAUUAGCAGCGGCUGGUGGCCCUGGUGCACCUUCCUUCCACUAGUCAGCUUGUCAGAGGAUUCUAGAUUUCGCAUCUUGCUUAGAGAAGCUUCCAACCUCACAGACACAAGAAUAUUUCCCUAAAUGUUCCUGUGGUCGGUACCUUUGUUGUGGUUUAGACAACCAGCUAUGGAAAUUACAUGUAUGCAAAGGGUGAAGGAGAGAGAGGAUCUGACAAAGACGAGGAUCUAAGCACCUCAACAUCAACUCUGAAACAUCCACUCUUCCAUUCAUGGACUUGAAAUGUCAUCUCUGAUUGUACUGUUAUAGUCCUCAAACAAACUACUUGACUAUGUAUGCUCUUUUGUGUAAACACACAGCUUGACUCAAGUUGUUUACUGAUGUGAGAAUGGGGACUUUCCAUUUGUAGUAAUGAACUGUGUCUUUUGGCAAGGGAGAUAGCUAGGUUGUCCCUGGGCUUUGGUACAGACUGUUAGCCUAAUAGAGUUAUUGUGAAAGCAAUCUAGUUUUCUCCUCUGGAAUAUUUAAAUAACUAAUAUAGUUAACUGGCUGGGUGUGUUGGUGCUCACCUUUAAUCCCAGCACUUGCGAGGCAGAGGUAAGAGGAUCACCAUGAGUUCAAAGGUUCAAGGCCACCCUGAGAAUACAUAGUGAAUUUCAGGUCAGCCUGGACUAGAGUGAAACCCUACUUCAAGAAAUCACACACACACACACACACACACACACACACACAUCUGUUCACUGAGGGUUUACUGGAACCUGCUCAUAAAGCCAUCUUGGACUGACAGAUUUAAAGAAUCCAUUUUGAAAAUCAUUGAUGACUUAUCUCUAUCUUCAUCAUAUUGAGUCAAUUUGGGGUUGAAUAUAUUUGCCUAGAAAAAAAAAAAAGAACAUUUCUCUUUCAUGCUCAAAUUACAGUCAUCAAGUCACAAACU